rnacentral:rRNA from 1 species
AGUGAACGCUGGCGGUAGGCCUAACACAUGCAAGUCGAACGGCAGCACAGUAAGAGCUUGCUCUUACGGGUGGCGAGUGGCGGACGGGUGAGGAAUACAUCGGAAUCUACUUUUUCGUGGGGGAUAACGUAGGGAAACUUACGCUAAUACCGCAUACGACCUACGGGUGAAAGCAGGGGAUCUUCGGACCUUGCGCGAGUGAAUGAGCCGAUGUCGGAUUAGCUAGUUGGCGGGGUAAAGGCCCACCAAGGCGACGAUCCGUAGCUGGUCUGAGAGGAUGAUCAGCGACACUGGAACUGAGACACGGUCCAGACUCCUACGGGAGGCAGCAGUGGGGAAUAUUGGACAAUGGGCGCAAGCCUGAUCCAGCCAUACCGCGUGGGUGAAGAAGGCCUUCGGGUUGUAAAGCCCUUUUGUUGGGAAAGAAAAGCAGCAGGUUAAUACCCCGCUGUUCUGACGGUACCCAAAGAAUAAGCACCGGCUAACUUCAUG